CAAGGGAGUUUACUYCUGAGGYGGCGAGCGGCGSAYKGGUGAGUAAUGCCUAGGGAUCUGCCCAGUCGAGGGGGAUAACAGUUGGAAACGACUGCUAAUACCGCAUACGCCCUACGGGGGAAAGGAGGGGACCUUCGGGCCUUCCGCGAUUGGAUGAACCUAGGUGGGAUUAGCUAGUUGGUGAGGUAAUGGCUCACCAAGGCGACGAUCCCUAGCUGUUCUGAGAGGAUGAUCAGCCACACUGGGACUGAGACACGGCCCAGACUCCUACGGGAGGCAGCAGUGGGGAAUAUUGCACAAUGGGGGAAACCCUGAUGCAGCCAUGCCGCGUGUGUGAAGAAGGCCUUCGGGUUGUAAAGCACUUUCAGUAGGGAGGAAAGGGUGUAGYUUAAUACGCUAUAUCUGUGACGUUACCUACAGAAGAAGGACCGGCUAACUCCGUGCCAGCAGCCGCGGUAAUACGGAGGGUCCGAGCGUUAAUCGGAAUUACUGGGCGUAAAGCGUGCGCAGGCGGUUUGUUAAGCGAGAUGUGAAAGCCCUGGGCUCA
rnacentral:rRNA from 1 species